UUGGAGGGCAAGUCUGGUGCCAGCAGCCGCGGUAAUUCCAGCUCCAAUAGCGUAUAUUAAAGUUGUUGCAGUUAAAAAGCUCGUAGUUGAAUUUCGGGAUCAAUUUAUUGGUCGUGCCAACGGUACGCACUGGUACAAUUGGUUUCUCCCUUCUGACGAAGCAUGAUGUCAUUAAUUUGAUGUCGUGGGGAAUCAGGACUGUUACUUUGAAAAAAUUAGAGUGUUUAAAGCAGGCUUUGGCUUGAAUACAUUAGCAUGGAAUAAUGAAAUAGGACGUUUGAUCUUAUUUCGUUGGUUUCUAAGAUCGACGUAAUGAUUAAUAGGGAUAGUUGGGGGCAUUAGUAUUCAAUUGUCAGAGGUGAAAUUCUUGGAUUUAUUGAAGACUAACUACUGCGAAAGCAUUUGCCAAGGAUGUUUUCAUUAAUCAAGAACGAAAGUUAGGGGAUCGAAGACGAUCAGAUACCGUCGUAGUCUUAACCAUAAUCUAUGCCGACUAGGGAUCGGAUGAUGUUAAUUUUUCUUGACUCGUUCGGCGCCUUACGGGAAAC
rnacentral:rRNA from 1 species